rnacentral:tRNA from 1 species
GGCCGGAUACCAAAGUGGCCUAAUGGGGCGGAUUGCAAAUCCGUUGUUCGUGGGUUCGAAUCCCACUCCGGCCU